AAAAAUUUGAGGACUAACAGAAGAAGACACGGGACAAAGUGGUAUAUCCACAAAGUCUGGAAUAGGAACUGAAGGAAUAGGGAAGGAGAAUCAGAUUUAUAAGGAAAAAUAUUUUCAUGAAACAUAAUGUCUCUAGAAAAGAAAACAUAUUUGGUUACUAAAUUCAGUAACUUGUAUCCCUUUUUUCCAUUUGGAUAACCUAAGAAUACCGAUAAAAUGGAUCUAGAUUGGAAUUUAUCUCUCCCUAAUUUGGGAGAAGUGGCAAAACAUAAACAACCAAAAUAUCUUAAGUGAGAAUAUGCAAGAGGCUGCCAUGUAGUUUUUCAUAAGGAAAAAGGUUGUUGAGUAUAACGAAUGGAAUGCGGUUGAUCAAAUAGGUGGCAGUGAGGCCACAU
rnacentral:misc_RNA from 1 species